AACGAACGUUAGCGGCGCGCCUAACACAUGCAAGUCGAGCGAGAAAGGGAGCAAUCCCCGGUACAGCGGCGCACGGGUGAGUAACACGUAGGUAAUCUGCCUCCGAGUGGGGGAUAACCU
rnacentral:rRNA from 1 species